CCUACGGGAGGCAGCAGUGAGGAAUAUUGGUCAAUGGACGAGAGUCUGAACCAGCCAAGUAGCGUGAAGGAUGACUGCCCUAUGGGUUGUAAACUUCUUUUAUAUGGGAAUAAAAUGUUCCACGUGUGGGAUUUUGUAUGUACCAUAUGAAUAAGGAUCGGCUAACUCCGUGCCAGCAGCCGCGGUAAUACGGAGGAUCCGAGCGUUAUCCGGAUUUAUUGGGUUUAAAGGGAGCGUAGGUGGAUUGUUAAGUCAGUUGUGAAAGUUUGCGGCUCAACCGUAAAAUUGCAGUUGAAACUGGCAGUCUUGAGUACAGUAGAGGUGGGCGGAAUUCGUGGUGUAGCGGUGAAAUGCUUAGAUAUCACGAAGAACUCCGAUUGCGAAGGCAGUUCACUGGACUGCAACUGACACUGAGGCUCGAACGUGUGGGUAUCAAACAGGAUUAGAUACCCCUGUAGUC
rnacentral:rRNA from 1 species